rnacentral:rRNA from 1 species
CGGACGGGUGAGUAACGCGUGGGUAACCUGCCUCACACUGGGGGAUAACAGUUAGAAAUAGCUGCUAAUACCGCAUAAGCGCACAGUUCCGCAUGGAACAGUGUGAAAAACUCCGGUGGUGCGAGAUGGACCCGCGUCUGAUUAGCCAGUUGGCGGGGUAACGGCCCACCAAAGCGACGAUCAGUAGCCAGCCUGAGAGGGUGAACGGCCACAUUGGGACUGAGACACGGCCCAAACUCCUACGGGAGGCAGCAUG